rnacentral:rRNA from 1 species
UACAGAGGUCCCAAGCGUUGUUCGGAUUCACUGGGCGUAAAGGGUGCGCAGGUGGUCGGGUAAGUCUGACGUGAAAUCCCGCAGCUUAACUGCGGAAUGGCAUUGGAUACUAUUCGGCUAGAGGGUUGGAGGGGGGACUGGAAUUCUCGGUGUAGCAGUGAAAUGCGUAGAUAUCGAGAGGAACACCAGUGGCGAAGGCGAGUCCCUGGACAACUCCUGACACUGAGGCACGAAAGCUAGGGGAGCAAACAGG